AUUGAUUUUAUGCUUGCAUAAAUGAUUUUUGGAUUCGGAGCGAGUGGCGAACUGGUGAGUAACACGUGGGUAACCUGCCCCGAAGCGGGGGAUAACAUUUGGAAACAAGUGCUAAUACCGCAUAAUUAGUUGGAACCGCAUGGUUCCAACUUGAAAGAUGGCUCUGCUAUCACUUUGGGAUGGACCCGCGCCGUAUUAGUUAGUUGGUGAGAUAAAAGCCCACCAAGACGAUGAUACGUAGCCGACCUGAGAGGGUAAUCGGCCACAUUGGGACUGAGACACGGCCCAGACUCCUACGGGAGGCAGCAGUAGGGAAUCUUCCACAAUGGACGAAAGUCUGAUGGAGCAACGCCGCGUGAGUGAUGAAGGUUUUCGGAUCGUAAAGCUCUGUUGUUAAGGAAGAACAAGUGUUAGAGUAACUGUUAACACUUUGACGGUAUUUAACCAGAAAGCCACGGCUAACUACGUGCCAGCAGCCGCGGUAAUACGUAGGUGGCGAGCGUUGUCCGGAUUUAUUGGGCGUAAAGCGAGCGCAGGCGGUUUUGUAAGUCUGCUGUGAAAGCCCUCAGCUCAACUGAGGAAGUGCAGUGGAAACUACAAAACUUGAGUACAGAAGAGGAAAGUGGAACUCCAUGUGUAGCGGUGAAAUGCGUAGAUAUAUGGAAGAACACCAGUGGCGAAGGCGGCUUUCUGGUCUGUUACUGACGCUGAGGCCCGAAAGCAUGGGUAGCGAACAGGAUUAGAUACCCUGGUAGUCCAUGCCGUAAACGAUGAGUACUAGGUGUUGGAGGGUUUCCGCCCUUCAGUGCCGCAGCUAACGCAUUAAGUAUUCCGCCUGGGGAGUACGACCGCAAGGUUGAAGCUCAAAGGAAUUGACGGGGGCCCGCACAAGUGGUGGAGCAUGUGGUUUAAUUCGAUGCUACGCGAAGAACCUUACCAGCUCUUGACAUCUUCUGCCAACCCAAGAGAUUGGGCGUUCCCUUCGGGGACAGAAUGACAGGUGGUGCAUGGUUGUCGUCAGCUCGUGUCGUGAGAUGUUGGGUUAAGUCCCGCAACGAGCGCAACCCUUAUUAUUAGUUGCCAGCAUUUAGUUGGGCACUCUAGUGAGACUGCCGGUGAUAAA
rnacentral:rRNA from 1 species